ACCUUGCUAAACCUGCUCAAUCUUGAUAGUCAGUCUAGAUGUUAGAUUCAUUCGGGUGCACACAAAUCCUGUGGAAUUGCGAACUUUGAGAAUUCAAGAAGAGAAGAGAAACAUGGCGGAAUUCCUGUGGACCUUUGCUGUACAGGAAUCGUUGAAGAAGACGGUGAUUAUGGCGGCUGAGCAGAUCGGCCUGGCAUGGGGAUUCCAGGAGGAACUCUCUAAGCUGGAGGAAGCUUUAUCCAGGGCACGAGCCAUCCUAAGGAAUGUUGACAGAACGAAGGCAGACCAUGAAUACCUCAACCUAUGGGUGAAGAAGCUUGAAGAUAUUGUCUUUGAAGCUGAUAAUUUACUCGAUGAGCUCGCUUAUGAAGAUGUUCGACGCAAAGUGGAAAUCGAAACGGUAAGCAUCAUUUCAUUCUCCACAUUUUAUAUCAAAAUGGCAAAUAAAAUCCCAACGGUUGCUAAAAAGUUACAAGAGUUCAUUUCCACAAAUCCUCCUCCGCUAUGUGUUGCUACAACAUCCAAUGAAGCUGAAAUUGAUCUUAACCAAACUCGAGAGACGGACUCAUUUCCUGAGGAAAUUGAGUUCAUUGGGAGGAAAACGGAAGUAUCAUAUAUAGUGGAUAAGCUACUUGCCCUUGAGAGUCAGAAACCUCUAGUUGUUUUAACCAUUGUUGGCACAGGUGGAUUAGGAAAAACAACUCUGGUGAAGAAAGUUUUCCAUCAUGAUAUGAUAAGGAAGAAUUUCGAUACAACCAUAUGGGUAUGUGUAUCUCAUCCUUUUAAAAUCAACAAAAUUUUGAGAGCAAUCGUGGGAUCCUUUAAUCCUACAUUUGGUGGCUCGGAUGAAAGGGAAGUCAUUCUUCGGGAGCUCCAAAAUUUGUUGAGUGCCAAAAAGUAUUUGCUUGUGCUUGAUGAUGUUUGGAACGAGGAACCCAUUCUAUGGAACGAGUUGAGGGCAUGUUUGGUAAAGAUCAAUCAAAAGGUUGGAAGUGCUAUAGUUGUGACUACCCGGAGUGGUAAAGUUGCAGAAAUUAUGGAGACAGAUUACAUACAUCAUUUGAGGCAGUUACCAGAUGAUGAUUGUUGGGCUUUAUUUCAAAAAUGUGUCUUUGGAAGUGAUAUACCAAUAAUUCCUGAUGUCAUUCGAGGACAACUUGUUAAAAAAUUUGGUGGCAUACCAUUGGUUGUGAAAGUGUUGGGAGGAAUGGUGAAAUCAUGCAAGAACGAUGAGGAAUUGCAAUCGACUUUGGAAAAUCUAGUGAGAAUUGAAUUACCAAAGGAAGAUCUUAUUUUAUUCACAAUCAAAUUAAGCGUGGACCGUCUACCGUCUUCCUCAUUGAAACAAUGUUUUGCUUAUUGUUCAAAUUUUCCACCAGACUUUCACUUCUACAAGGAAGCACUUGUUCGGAUGUGGAUAGCGCAAGGGUUUAUUCAACUACCUAAUGAAUGCAAUGUAACGAUGGAGGAUAUUGGAGAGAGGUAUUUCGAUACGUUGUUGUCUCGCUCCUUGUUUCAAGAUGUUGAAAAGGAUUAUAGAGGAAAAAUUGAAUAUUGUAAGAUGCAUGAUCAUAUACAUGAGGUCGCAUGUGCUAUUUCAAAUGAUAAAAAUUUGAGAGAGGAUCUUGUAACGGAUGAAAAAUAUGAAGGUGGUGAAGUUCUUUCGAUCUGUCAAAGAAGAACAGUUUAUUGUUGUGAAAAAAUAGCAUUUGAUAUGAUCACCAAGUUCAUCUACUUGCGUGUUUUAAUUAUGGAUCAUGUGUUCAUAACUGAAUUGCCAGAUACAAUUGGUAAGUUGAAGCAUUUGAGGUAUCUUGAUAUUUCAGGGUGUGGAAUAAGUAAUCUCCCAGAAUCUAUUGUUUUGCUCUACAAUUUGCAAACUUUGAAGCUUGACGAGUGUAUAAAGCUUCCCACAGAGUUGACAAAGUUGGUGAACUUAAGGCAUUUAGAGUUUGAUUGGUAUGAUAUAAAUCCUAAGCAAAUGCCUAAACAUUUAAGUCGAAUGACUCAACUUCAAACACUUUCUAGUUUUAUAGUUGGGUGUGAUGACGGAUGUAAGAUCGAGGAGCUUGGACCCUUAAAAAACCUUAAAGGCGAUUUCAACUUGUUAUAUCUCGAGCGAGUCAAAAGUAAAGAGGAGGCCAUGACUGCAAAUUUAGUAGAAAAGGAAAAUAUUUCUCAACUAUGUUUUAAAUGGAGUAUUGAAAGGGAAGAAUGUAACGACAAUGAUUUGAAUGUGUUGGAAGGGCUUCAACCACACAAAAACCUUCGACAAUUGAGAAUUCAAAAUUUUCCCGGUAAACUUCUACCCAACGGUAUUUUUGUUGACAACUUGGUUGAGAUAAAUCUACUCGAGUGCACAAAAUGUGAAACUUUACCGAUGCUCGGACAGUUGUCUAAACUUAAGGCUCUUCAAAUUACCAAGUUGAGUGCACUAAAAAGUAUUGGAGACGAAUUUUAUGGAAAUUAUCGCGACAGCAGAACUUUAUUUCCUAAAUUGAAAGCAUUUCAUAUUUGGUUCAUGGACAGUUUAGAGCAAUGGGAAGAAGUUGAUACUCUGACGAAUUGUACAACUUUUCCUCAUCUCGAAAGUUUAAUCAUUCGUUAUUGUCUCAAACUAACGAAUAUUCCAAACAUUUUUGCAACUCAUGGCCAGAGGUUGGAAGUUGACACUACGAAUGCAAGGUUAUUUUCAAGCUUUCAAACUCCUCCAAAGCUUCGAUCUCUACACAUUACAAAUUGUACAAGUUUGAUAAAGCUACCAAACUGGUUAGAGUUUUGUAGCUCACUUGAAGAUUUGGAGAUAGACAACUUUUGUGAUGAUAUUUCCCUUCCAAAUUUGCAAAAUAUCCGAAACUUGUCUACGUUAGAAAUCAAAAAGUUCGAAAAUUUGCCAAAGGGGCUUGGUGGUAUGCAUAACUUGAAAAAAUUGGUGGUUGAAGGGCCAAUGAAGGAUUAUGAUUGGAGUCGAUUCGUACCCUUAAAUUCGCUUGAAGAGCUUGUAUUGUCGGAAACAAGAACUAAUAGUUUAACACAACUUCCUCGACAACUUGAACUCCUGCCUGCUUUAAAAUAUUUGCAUAUUGAGAAUUUUGAUGGCGUUGAAUCUUUGCCGGAAUGGUUGGGAAACGUUAUAUCUUUGGAGACAUUAUCAUUACGUGAGUGCAGAAAUUUGAAAAACUUGCCUUCCAAAGAAGCACUGUCAAAUUUAACUAAAUUGAAUCGCUUGUUAGUAUACGGUCGUUCCCAGAUUGAUGCGGUUGAACGGGAAAGAGUUUUCCAUGAAACCGGUAUCCAUGUGUCCCGUGUCGGCGUUCCACUGUGGAAUUCCUAGGUCAGUUGGUGGUAUUCAGCUUCGUCGUGGUCUUUCUGGUUAGGGUUUUUAAUUGGGAUCGGAUCUCGUUUUGGUAACCAAUUUAGUCCCCUAUCCAUGAUGACUUCAAUGGCUCUGACUGAUGUUUCAGAUGAAGUUUCGAGGAAUGGGGCUUGGGUUGGAGAUAGAUUGCCAAAAUGGUGGCCGCCGGCAGUUCCUAGACGGAUUUCCACGGCGAAUAGGCAGGGAUAUCAGAUAGAAGCUGACAGAUUAGUACGAGGUUUGUUGGAGCCCGCACUGUUAAAUGUGAUCAAUUGUGAGAGUUUAGGUGGGGUUUCUGUAUGGUGCACAUAAAUCCUUUAGAAUUGCAAACCUGCACCAUAAUUUAAUUCAAUUUUUGGAAGCAGACUAUAAUAUCUUCGAAUAUGAUUUCAUAUUUUUCGAUGGAGUCCACCUUGUUAAAUGAGCUCAGUCUUCGAAGUCAAGACGCGUAAGAUAAUAAAAGGGUGUAAGAUGGAGUUUCUGUAUGCUUAA